rnacentral:lncRNA from 1 species
GAAAAUGGACUUGGAGGUCAUUGUGCCAAUUGACCUCAGUUCUGGAGAUCAUCAGCACCUAGUUCAGAAAGCAGUAGAUGAAGAUGCAUCCCAACCUGGUUGGCCCUCCACAUCUUUACCUGCAAAGAUGUCAAAGGAAGCUAAAGGAAAUCCAAACCCAAAGGCUGACAAGCCAGUGAAUACCUAGGUGAUACAAAUUUCAGAUGAUACAACCCCAAAUGAUAACAGUGUAACUAUACACAGUCCAUUCUCAGACAGAUCUGUCGGCCAAGAUGAGAAGAAAGAAAUUACCUACUUUACAGCUUUCAUUGCAAAAGUGUUCCUCCUCCUGUCAGCUCAGUUGUUAAUCACUGCCAUAAUUGUGGGCACAUUUGUUUUCUGGAAUGCUUUAGGAGUGUGGGUAGUUACACACCCCUUGUUCAUAUGUGCACUCUUUCCAGCAUUUUUUGUGAUAUUUAUUGUACUUGCUUGCUGUGGGACUAUCCACCGGGAGGUGCCUGCAAAUUACAUUCUCCUGGGAUUGUUUGUAAGUAAACCUUGUCAGCCCCUGUUUUAA